GGGGUUGUGGCUCAGUGGUAGAGCGCUUGCCUUGCACGUGCGGGGCCCUGGGUUCGAUCCUCAGCACCA
rnacentral:tRNA from 1 species